rnacentral:rRNA from 1 species
AAAAUUAGCGGAUGACUUGUGGCUGGGGGUGAAAGGCCAAUCAAACCGGGAGAUAGCUGGUUCUCCCCGAAAGCUAUUUAGGUAGCGCCUCGUGAAUUCAUCUUCGGGGGUAGAGCACUGUUUCGGCUAGGGGGGUCAUCCCGACUUACCAACCCGAUGCAAACUACGAAUACCGAAGAAUGUUAUCACGGGAGACACACGGCGGGUGCUAACGUCCGUCGUGAAGAGGGAAACAACCCAGACCGCCAGCUAAGGUCCCAAAGUCAUGGUUAAGUGGGAAACGAUGUGGGAAGGCACAGACAGCCAGGAUGUUGGCUUAGAAGCAGCCAUCAUUUAAAGAAAGCGUAAUAGCUCACUGGUCGAGUCGGCCUGCGCGGAAGAUGUAACGGGGCUAAACCAUGCACCGAAGCUGCGGCAGCGACACUAUGUGUUGUUGGGUAGGG